rnacentral:rRNA from 1 species
UACGAAGGGGGCUAGCGUUGCUCGGAAUCACUGGGCUUAAAGGGCGCGUAGGCGGCGCACCAAGUCCGGGGUGAAAGCCCCCAGCUCAACUGGGGAAGUGCCUCGGAUACUGGUGCGCUCGAGGGAGGUAGGGGCGGAUGGAACUUCCGGUGGAGCGGUGAAAUGCGUUGAUAUCGGAAGGAACGCCGGUGGCGAAAGCGAUCCGCUGGCCCUCUUCUGACGCUGAGGCGCGAAAGCCAGGGGAGCAAACGGG